rnacentral:rRNA from 1 species
UAUCCAUCGCAUGAUAGAUAUGGGAAAAGCUCCGGCGGCAAAGGAUGGGCCCGCGGCCUGUUAGCUAGUUGGUGGGGUAGUGGCCUACCCAAGGCAAUGAUGGGUAGCCGGGUUGAGAGACCGACCGGCCAGAUUGGGACUGAGACACGGCCCAGACUCCUACGGGAGGCAGCAGUGGGGAAUCUUGCACAAUGGGCGAAAGCCUGAUGCAGCGACGCCGCGUGCGGGAUGAAGGCCUUCGGGUUGUAAACCGCUUUCAGCAGGGGACGAGGCCGCAAGGUGACGGUACCUGCAGAAAAAGCCCCGGCUAACUACGUGCCAGCAGCCGCGGUAAU